AGACCCUGGGUCUCCGAGGAUGGGAACGAGGCCACCAGACAAAGAAGAACAGCAAUAAAACAGUACUGGAAUAAAAUGUCAAACGAUCUGAAAAACAAUCCUAAAGCAUUUUUCAAGACCUUCAAGCCAUUUUUGAGUUCUAAGAGCUGUAUCGAAAGAAAUGACAUCCACUUUAAAAUGACAAACGGUAGUAAUAUGAUAACGAAUCAACAACAGGUGGCUGAGGAAUUGGUUGAGCAUUUUGCUACCUUGGCGGAUGGCAUCGGAGGCACAGCGAUUGAAAAAAAGUCAAUUGAGGGCUUUUGGGAUCACCCUUGUGUUCAGAGGAUACAGCAUGAAAACAGGGACUUCACACAAACCAUUGAAAUCAAACCGGUCACACAUGGUCAAGUCCUCGCAGCUCUCGAUUCGCUGAAUACAAACAAAGCCACCGGCACUGAUGGCAACCCUUCCAAGGCCUUAAAAGUUGGUGUCGAGGAAUUAUCCGCUCCAUUAACCACCUUGUUCAAUUCUUGUAUCGACAACAAUGCAUGGCCCUGCGAAUGGAAGUUUGGGUAUAGGGCUCCAGUGUACAAAAAAGAUGACAGGACUGUGAAGGAAAACUACCGGCCCAUAACACUCUUUCCUUGUGUAAGCAAAGUUCUCGAGAAGCUGGUUAGAGUGCAGAUCAACUCCGCUUUGGGAAGCCGCUUUUAUCAGAACUCAUCUGCCUAUCGCAAAGCUCACAGCUGCGAAACAACUUUGAUCAAUCUAGUAGAAGAUUGGAGACUCGCAAGGGAUCCAAGACAGGUUCGAAAUUGCCUAUGUAUGCAGACGACCACCAGAUUUACCAUGCAGGUGCAGAUCAGGCAGCUAUCAUAUCCCAGUUAAAGGAUAGUGCCAACUUAGCAACAACGUGAGGCUGCCGACGAUGUCAAAGUUACAAUCGUGGUGGACAAUCCUACUAAAGUUCAUGAAUUCACUCCCGUAGUAUACCUACACUGGAACUAAUCCUGUCCUGAUGGUGCCCCAUUGAAGAAGUUGAUUACUUUUUAAGCCACAAUGGUGCCGACACAUACAUUGGGUAUACAGCCGACAGAGUGAUCAGAGUCUCACUUAGUUUUCCUUCACGGGAUCGUUUUUCGAUCGAGCGGCCAGCCACUUUGAUAAUCUGCAAUGUAAGUGUUGUCGAUGCAGGGACGUAUACUUUAGGAGUUGAGCUGGAGUCAGUGAAAAGAACCUAAAGCUUAAUCGACCUGACUGUUCUUGUGCCUGUCAAGUUUGUUAGUGCACCAAGUGACCAGACUAUCAAUAAAACAGACACAGUAACAUUUUGUCUGUAAUGUUAGUGGUGUUCCAGCCCCUGUAAUCAAGUGGCAGAAGGAUGGAGGAGCUGUUGGUACAGGAGACAUGCUUAGCUUUCCAGUCUAUAGGAAUCAAUCAGGAUACUACUGGUGCUCAGCUGAUAACGGCUUGAGUGUGACUGUCAGUGCCAGUGCUUACCUUGAAGUGCAAUACAAGCCAAAUGGGAUGAGUUUUACAUCCAGCCCAACCAACACUACUGUACUACGUGGUAGGAACAUGGUGUUAAGCUGCAAAACAGAUGCCAACGCUGCACCACAUGUGUAUCACUUUUAUUUUAAUGCUACCUUUAUUGGUGUGAACAACUUGAGUACGUACAUGUAUACUGUCACAGUUCAAACAGAUGGAGUGUACACUGUGUACGUUUGAAUGCAGUUGGUACUGGUGACAAUACCACCAUUGCUGUCAUAACAGUGGAUGCGCCUUUAGUAGAUGUUUUUCCUGCCACAACCUAUGUCAAAGAAGGAAACAACAUCACAUUGUCAUGCAAUACAUCUGGAAAACCAGCACUUGUUAAAGCAUGGACAAAAGUUGGCUCAUUACAAGUUCUUUCUCACACUUCUUUGUUGUCAGUUGUCAAUGUGACCAGACCUGGGAGAGUAGACAACAUGAUCCAGUAUUGAUGUACGGCCAGUAAUGGAGUGGAGACACCAGCCACAGCCACAGUCAACAUCACUGUCCAUUAUUUACCAAAGGCAGUAGCUCUGUUAACAACUCCAGUCAAUGCUACAGUGCUAUGUGAUAGUGCAGUGAUGCUGAAGUGUGGUGUAGAUGUCAACCCUGAUGCUCGUACUUACAACUUCUACUUUAAUUUAAUGGCAACUUUAUUGGUAACAGUAGCUCUGGUGUGUUUAACAUCAGUGUGAAGGAAGAUGGAGAGUACGUGUGUGUUCCUGAAAAUACAGUAGGCAAAGGAAGCAAUGCUAGUGUCAGCAUCACUGCUGUAGUGGCUCCAUCAGUGCAUGUGUCAGUCUUGGUAAUGGUUAUAGAAGAUGGAGGUAACAUUUCAUUGAGCUCUAAUGUAUCCGGUAAACCUAACCCCAGCAUAUCAUGGACAGGAAUUGGUGGUUUGGAUGUUCUCUCUCUUUUACCAUCAUUAACUAUUAUGAAUGUGACCAGACCUGGACAGCAGACAACAUGAUCCAGUAUCAAUGUAUAGUCAAUAAUGGAGUGGGAACACCAGCUACAGCUACAGUUAAUGUCAUUGUUCACUUUCCCCCUGGUAUUGACCAUGCCCCAUCAGCUUAUCAAGUUGUAGAAGGAAGUGGGGUGACCCUGUUCUGUAAUGCUACUGGAAAUCCAAAGCCUGGCAUAACUUGGACAAAAGAAGGAAACAGCUAGUGAACUGUCCACAUCAGAGGCUCUUACUCCGACAAAACUGAUAAAAGAAGAUGAUGGGUCUGUUUACAAAUGUACAGCAGCAAAUUCCGUGGGAUUUAAGCUCAAUAUACUUCCCAAGUUACUGUCUUUUACCCACCACAGCCUUCCAUACAACUUUGCCCUAGUCCAGUAACUGAAGGAGACAAUGUAACUUUGUACUGUAAUGGGACUGGCAAUCCAUCACCUCACACAGCCUGGAUAAAGUCUGGAAAGACUCUGGCGACAGAUAGUGUUUAUGUUAUAACAACAAUUAACAGAAAUCAGGCUGGAAUGUACCAGUGAGUGUAUGGCUUGGAAUGGAAUCAUCAGAAAUGUUACUUUGAACUGCACCAUUGAUGUUCACUAUGCUCCAACAUCAAGCAUGAUUACAACUGUUCUUACAAACACAACAGUGUACAGUGUACAGUGAUGCUGAAGUGUGGUGUAGAUACCAAUCCUGCUGCUCAUACAUAUAACUUCUACUUUAAUGGCAAACUUAUUGGUAACAGCAGCUCUGGUGUGUUUAACAUCACUGUGAAAGAAGACUGAGAGUACACUUGCAUUCCUAUCAACAGUGUAGGUGCAGGAAGCAAUGCUACUGUCCGUAUCAUGUCUGUUGUGGCUCCAUCAGUGCAUGUGUCAAUCUCUGCAGUGGUUCUAGAAGAAGGAGAUAACAUUUCAUUGAGCUCUAAUGUAUCUGGUAAACCUGAACCCAGCAUAUCAUGGACAAGAAUUGGUAGUUCCAAAGUUCUCUCUAGUACCAUCAUUAACCAUUGUCUGUGAAUAUGAACAGAUCGACCCAGGACAGCCGACAACAUGAUCCAGUAUCGAUGUACAGUCAGUAAUGGAGUGGGUGUCGAGUUAUUCAAGAGACAACAACGUGCUUGCGUUCAUAAACUGCCAUGUUUUAUUCUCCUCCCCAUUUCUCCAGUGCACAUGCCUAAAUACCGAACAACACACGCACGUGACACAUAAGAUCAAAGUUCAGUAACACAACAGUGGGGACACCAGCUACAGCUGCAGUUAAUGUUACUGUUCACUACCAACCACAGCCAGCCAUACAACUUUGCCCUAGUCCAGUAACUGAAGGAGACAAAGUAAUGUUAUAUUGUAAUGGGACUGGCAAUCCAUCACCUCACUCAGCCUGGAUAAAGUCUGGAAAGGUUCUGGUGACAGACAGUGUUUAUGUUAUAACAGCAAUUAACAGAAGUCACGCUGGAAUGCACCAGUGCAUGGCCUGGAAUGAAAUCAUGAGAAAUGUUACUUCUAACUACACCACUGAUGUUCACUAUCCUCAAACAUCAAGUGUAAUUACAACUGCUCCCACGAAUACUUCAGUGCUACGCAAUAGUACAGUGAUGCUGAAGUGUGGUGUGGAUGCCAUUACCCUGAUGCUCAUACAUAUAACUUCUACUUUAAUGGCAACCUUAUUAGUAACAGCAGCUCUGGUGUGUUUAACGUCAUUGGGAAGGAAGAUAGAGAGUACGUACACUUGUGUUCCUGUCAACAGUGUAGGAGCAGGAAGCAGUGCUACUGUCAGUAUCAUUGCCUUUGACCUACUACAACCUUCAAUACAACAUUGUUCCACUCCAGUAAAUGAAGGAGACAAUGUAACAUUAAACUGUAAGGGAAAUGGUAAUCCAUCACCUCGCACAGCCUGGAUAAAGUCUGGAAAGGUUCCUAGUGACAGGCAGUGAUUAUGUUAUGACAACAAUUAACAGAAGUCAGGCUGGAACAUACCAGUGUAUGGCUUGGAAUGGAACUACGAGAAAUGAAACCUCUCACUGCACUGUUGAUGUUCACUAUCCACCAACAUCAACCAUGAUUACAGCUGUUCCUCACAUACACUAUACAGUGCUACAUGGUUGUAGAUUGGUGCUGAGGUGUGGUGUGGAUGCCAACCCUGAUGCUCAGACAUAUAAAUUCUACUUUAAUGGCAACUUUAUUGGUAGCAGUAGCUCUGGUGUGUUAAACAUCAGUAUGAAGGAAGAUGGAGAGUAUACUUGUGUUCCUGUCAACAAAUUAGGCAUAGGAAGCAAUGGCAGUGUCAGUUUGAAUG